rnacentral:rRNA from 1 species
AGAGAUGGAUUGGUGCCUUCGGAACUUAGAUACAGGUGCUGCAUGGCUGUCGUCAGCUCGUGUCGUGAGAUGUUGGGUUAAGUCCCGCAACGAGCGCAACCCUUUUCCUUAUUUGCCAGCGGGUCAUGCCGGGAACUUUAAGGAUACUGCCAGUGACAAACUGGAGGAAGGCGGGGACGACGUCAAGUCAUCAUGGCCCUUACGGCCAGGGCUACACACGUGCUACAAUGGUCGGUACAAAGGGUUGCUACCUCGCGAGAGGAUGCUAAUCUCAAAAAGCCGAUCGUAGUCCGGAUCGCAGUCUGCAACUCGACUGCGUGAAGUCGGAAUCGCUAGUAAUCGCGGAUCAGAAUGCCGCGGUGAAUACGUUCCCGGGCCUUGUACACACCGCCCGUCACACCAUGGGAGUUUGUUGCACCAGAAGUAGGUAGUCUAACCGCAAGGAGGACGCUUACCACGGUGUGGCCGAUGACUGGGGUGAAGUCGUAACAAGGUAAGCGUAGAUGA